rnacentral:rRNA from 1 species
CGGGGCGGAGCUACAAUGCAGUCGAACGGAAACAUGUCUAGCUUGCUAGAUGAUGUCGAGUGGCGGACGGGUGAGUAAUACUUAGGAACAUGCCCUUGGGUGGGGGAUAACUAUUGGAAACGAUAGCUAAUACCGCAUAACGUCUACGGACCAAAGGGGGGAGCUUGCUCCUCUCACCCAAAGAGUGGCCUAAGCGAGAUUAGCUUGUUGGUGAGGUAAAGGCUCACCAAGGCGACGAUCUCUAGCUGUUCUGAGAGGAAGAUCAGCCACGCUGGGACUGAGACACGGCCCAGACUCCUACGGGAGGCAGCAGUGGGGAAUAUUGCACAAUGGAGGAAACUCUGAUGCAGCCAUGCCGCGUGUGUGAAGAAGGCCUUCGGGUUGUAAAGCACUUUCAGUUGUGAGGAAAGCUUGGUGGUUAAUACCCAUCAGGUAUGACGUUAGCAACAGAAGAAGGACCGGCUAACUCCGUGCCAGCAGCCGCGGUAAC